AGGAGUCUAGCCUGCCCAGUGAAUUUUUAACGGCCGCGGUACUCUGACCGUGCAAAGGUAGCAUAAUCAUUUGCCUUAUAAUUGAAGGCUAGUAUGAAAGGUUUGACGAAAGUUAAGCUGUCUUUUUUUGAAUAAAAUGAAAUUAACUUAUAAGUGCAAAGGCUUAUAUUCCACUAAAAGACAAGAAGACCCUAUUGAGCUUUAUAAAGAUACAGUAGUAUAAAGUAUAUAAUAAGAUUCUAAUCUACUAAAAUUUUUAGUUGGGGCGACUUAGGAAUAGUUAUAACUUCCUAGUGUUAAAAACACUUAAUAAGUUUUUUAUCCAAAAAAUUUUGAUUAUCAAAAUUAGUUACCAUAGGGAUAACAGCAUAAUCUUUCUUAGGAGCUCUAAUCGAAAGAAAGGAUUGUGACCUCGAUGUUGGACUAGAAUAUCCUAAAGGUGCAGAAGUUUUUAAGGGUUAGUCUGUUCG
rnacentral:rRNA from 1 species